rnacentral:rRNA from 1 species
UACGUAGGGUGCGAGCGUUAAUCGGAAUUACUGGGCGUAAAGCGUGCGCAGGCGGUUCGUUGUGUCGGUGGUGAAAGCCCCGGGCUUAACCUGGGAAUGGCCAUGGAAACUGGCGAACUGGAGUGUGGCAGAGGGGGUGGAAUUCCGCGUGUAGCAGUGAAAUGCGUAGAGAUGCGGAGGAACACCGAUGGCGAAGGCAGCCCCCUGGGCU